CUCCUUUUAAUCUUUUAUACGUUCUGGAAGGUGGUGGCGAUACAGUGGCGUUUUCGUCGAUAGUGGUGGGAGGUUAUCGAAGUUUAAUGACAGUAUUAAUGGUUUGCUUCACACAACUGCCGCCGGUAAGCCCUUCUCCUCUACUCGCCGCUGCUGUUGUUUGAGUCGGACACCGGCGCCGCCUCCGUUCUACACCCUUUCGUCGCUUAACACACACUGGCGCCACAAAAUUUCUGAAAUCUGUGGGUUUUAUGACAUCUGCCAUAGCAGCUCUUCUCCAAGACUAAUAAGGGAAGACAAUAAUGGUGGGCAAUAUCAAUGGUGUGGUCUCUUCCUACCUUCACCUCUUCAAAGCUUCCCUAGGUCGACUGAAAUUUUGGAUUACAUAUAUCCAGGUAUGGCAUUUGCGAUUGUGAAUAUGGAUUAAGCUAGUAGGGGAUUCAAGUUACCGAAUGAUUGUGUAAUUUGCCCAAAGUUGUGUUCACCCCUUUCCAUGUAAGGUUAUUAUCCAUUGAAUUGAUUUACACAUUAAUUAUCUAUUUGGAACACACAAUAUACAAUUUAGUGAGCUUUGUUGAAUUUGGGGGCAUUCAUUAUUGGUUUUAGUGUUGAUUAUAACUUGAAAUUAAGGGGGAGCGGGGCACCCUCGGUGACCCCGUGCGGGGACCAAUUUUGCCGAGCGGGGCGGUGCCGUCAUCCAAGCGGGGAGCCAAAUCGGGGACCAAUUUCGGGGAGGAGGCACCGAAGAAGGAAGGAGAGAGAAGUUAGACGGAGCGUUAUUUAUAUGGAUGAUGUGUUACUCUUGGAAAGUGAGGAGCAAGGAUCGUCAUAUUGUUAUUAUAUACGACACAUCAACGUAACCCGUCCACCGGACGGGUAUUAAACUAGUUGUUUUUUAUUCACCUCUAGUUUACUCUUCGAAAAAAAAAAGGUUGGCGACUAAUUAACAAAGAAAUAAAGAAAGUGGCUUUCAAUUCAUUUUAUAUUAUUUUCUUUUACGGCUGGUAAUUAUUUGCAUGUUCGAUGUUCGAUGGGUUGUCAACAUAUACCUUUUUACAUUUUUAUAAAAAGAAAUCCCAUCGGAUUAAUAAACAUAAUUACUUCUAGUAACUAUGAAAUUACCUCACUAAUUAAAGCUCUUGCAAGACACUCCCCUCCUAUUUCUGAAUACUAAAAUCACUGUUUUAAACUCCUAAGCAAUCCCUAGUUAAAGGAUAUACUUUGUAA